GACGAACCGUGCGAACGUUGUUCGGAUUCACUGGGCUUAAAGGGCGCGUAGGCGGCUUGCCAAGUCAGGGGUGAAAUCGUUCGGCUCAACCGGACAAGUGCUUCUGAUACUGGCGGGCUGGAGGGAGGUAGGGGCAGACGGAACUUCCGGUGGAGCGGUGAAAUGCGUAGAUAUCAAGAGGAACACCAGUGGCGAAGGCGAGUCCCUGGACAAUACCUGACACUGAGGCACGAAAGCCAAGGGAGCAAACAGG
rnacentral:rRNA from 1 species